GACAGAGGUGCCGAGCGUUAGGCGGAAUCACUGGGCUUAAAGCGUGUGUAGGCGGAUCGUUAAGUCCCUUGUGAAAUCCCACGGCUUAACCGUGGAACUGCUGGGUAUACUGGCGAUCUUAAGGUGCUCAGGGGCGAGCGGAACAGAUGGUGGAGCGGUGAAAUGCGUAGAUAUCAUCUGGAACGCCUGCGGUGAAAACGGCUCGCUGGGAGCAAUCUGACGCUGAGACACGAAAGCCAGGGGAGCGAACGGG
rnacentral:rRNA from 1 species